rnacentral:rRNA from 1 species
UACGAAGGGGGCUAGCGUUGCUCGGAAUUACUGGGCGUAAAGGGCGCGUAGGCGGACAGUUUAGUCAGAGGUGAAAGCCCAGGGCUCAACCUUGGAAUUGCCUUUGAUACUGGCUGUCUUGAGUACGGGAGAGGUGUGUGGAACUCCGAGUGUAGAGGUGAAAUUCGUAGAUAUUCGGAAGAACACCAGUGGCGAAGGCGACACACUGGCCCGUUACUGACGCUGAGGUGCGAAAGCGUGGGGAGCAAACAGG